GACGAACGCUGGCGGCGUGCUUAACACAUGCAAGUCGAACGAUGAAGCCUAGCUUGCUAGGUGGAUUAGUGGCGAACGGGUGAGUAAUACGUGAGUAACCUACCUUUAACUCUGGGAUAAGCCUGGGAAACUGGGUCUAAUACCGGAUACGACCAAUCUCCGCAUGGGGUGUUGGUGGAAAGCGUUAUGUAGUGGUUAUAGAUGGGCUCACGGCCUAUCAGCUUGUUGGUGAGGUAACGGCUCACCAAGGCGACGACGGGUAGCCGGCCUGAGAGGGUGACCGGCCACACUGGGACUGAGACACGGCCCAGACUCCUACGGGAGGCAGCAGUGGGGAAUAUUGCACAAUGGGCGCAAGCCUGGUGCAGCGACGCCGCGUGAGGGAUGACGGCCUUCGGGUUGUAAACCUCUGUUAGCAGGGAAGAAGAGAGAUUGACGGUACCUGCAGAGAAAGCGCCGGCUAACUACGUGCCAGCAGCCGCGGUAAUACGUAGGGCGCGAGCGUUGUCCGGAAUUAUUGGGCGUAAAGAGCUUGUAGGGCGGUUUGUCGCGUCUGCUGUGAAAGGCCGGAGCUUAACUCCGUGUAUUGCAGUGGGUACGGGCAGACUAGAGUGCAGUAGGGGAGACUGGAAUUCCUGGUGUAGCGGUGGAAUGCGCAGAUAUCAGGAGGAACACCGAUGGCGAAGGCAGGUCUCUGGGCUGUAACUGACGCUGAGAAGCGAAAGCAUGGGGAGCGAACAGGAUUAGAUACCCUGGUAGUCCAUGCCGUAAACGUUGGGCACUAGGUGUGGGGAACAUUCCACGUUUUCCGCGCCGUAGCUAACGCAUUAAGUGCCCCGCCUGGGGAGUACGGCCGCAAGGCUAAAACUCAAAGAAAUUGACGGGGGCCCGCACAAGCGGCGGAGCAUGCGGAUUAAUUCGAUGCAACGCGAAGAACCUUACCAAGGCUUGACAUAUACUGGACCGCAUCAGAGAUGGUGUUUCCCUUCGGGGCUGGUAUACAGGUGGUGCAUGGUUGUCGUCAGCUCGUGUCGUGAGAUGUUGGGUUAAGUCCCGCAACGAGCGCAACCCUCGUUCUAUGUUGCCAGCACGUUAUGGUGGGGACUCAUAGGAGACUGCCGGGGUCAACUCGGAGGAAGGUGGGGAUGACGUCAAAUCAUCAUGCCCCUUAUGUCUUGGGCUUCACGCAUGCUACAAUGGCCGGUACAGAGGGUUGCGAUACUGUGAGGUGGAGCUAAUCCCUAAAAGCCGGUCUCAGUUCGGAUUGGGGUCUGCAACUCGACCCCAUGAGGUCGGAGUCGCUAGUAAUCGCAGAUCAGCAACGCUGCGGUGAAUACGUUCCCGGGCCU
rnacentral:rRNA from 1 species